ensembl:lncRNA
CGCUUCCUGUUUUCCUGCCUGGGAAAAACCUUUGGAGAGGGACAAAUAGAUGGAGAACAAUGUAAGAGCUACAAUGACUUUAAAAACAGGCAACAUUUCAUUUUUGUGUCGGCCAUCUACCAAAGAUCAGUAUGGUGAAACCUCGGUUUACAAAAGUAGCCACUGGUAAACUGUGCUGUAAUGUUAUGUCUCAAGGUCUUUCUGUAUAACAUACCUGAUCUACUUCGUUCCAUGCUAUUAAUGAUCUAUUCUAUUUCACGAGCUCUUACUUUUAGUGGUGCUCUGUAUAAUUAUCUGUAAACCUUAUGGACUAUUUUUCAAUGGCAAUAAGUAACGUGGCAAUACGGUAUUCAUGUUAUCGAGAUUGUGAGUACUGGAAAUUUAGUUGUCUAAACUGUAUAUAGAAAAUGUGCCUCAAUAUUGAUAUUGGCCUCACUUCUUUUUGCGUUAUUUCAAAAUGAUUUUACUUGACACUGGUCUUUGUCUGCUGAACGUGUAAAAUAUGUUGUUUUGUUUUUUACAUGUGUAGUGUAAUUGAUGUGUAAUUGAUGUGUAAUUGAUGUGUAAUUGUGCAUUGAUUGAUACUGUAUGUAUGUGUGAGUCCACCUGUGUAAAUUCACUCCAUUGGUUGUCAGUAUUGGGCACCGAAAUGAGAAGAGAAAACAUUCAAAGGCAUUCCUUUCGUAUGCAGCUAGGUCAUUCUGUAGGGGAGCACUGUGUGCCUUGGUUUAUGAUCAUUCUCGCGACGGUGAACACAAUCUUUUCUAUGGUUUGUAUCGUGUAAAACAACAACUUUUUGUUAAGUACCAAUUUUGUAUGUGUAAAAUAAACGUGGCACUCAAAUGAGAAGUACAAAAAGUGAGCUCUAUUGUUUCAAAGAAAUGCAAGAAGGAACAGAGUAAUACUAUACGAAAUUGAAUUGAACAGACUAUGUUAGGAUAAUACAGCUUUGAUGCUUGCUUUAAGCCAUGGUCCGUUCUAAGUUUUGGUUUCUGUGUUUAGCUGUAAAAUGAAGAUCGUAAUGCCUUUUCAGCC